GAUGAACGCUGGCGGCGUGCCUAAUACAUGCAAGUCGAGCGAACAGAUGAGGUGCUUGCUCCUCUGACGUUAGCGGCGGACGGGUGAGUAACACGUGGAUAACCUACCUAUAAGACUGGGAUAACUUCGGGAAACCGGAGCUAAUACCGGAUAAUAUAUUGAACCGCAUGGUUCAAUAGUGAAAGACGGUUUUGCUGUCACUUAUAGAUGGAUCCGCGCCGCAUUAGCUAGUUGGUAAGGUAACGGCUUACCAAGGCAACGAUGCGUAGCCGACCUGAGAGGGAGAAUGGAAAGAAGGGGAGUGCGCGGAGGGCGAGAGACAGAGGGGAGGGAGAAGGAGGGAAGCGGUAGGAAGGGGUGAAGGACAGAAGGAGAAGAGAAGAGGGAGGAAGGAAGGUAUGAGGAUCGGAGAACGCUGUGAGGAGAGAAGAACAAAGGGGUAAGGAAAGAUGCUCGGGAGGAGGGGAAGUAAUCAGGAAGACAGGGAGAGGGCGGGG
rnacentral:rRNA from 1 species